UGGGGAAUAUUGCACAAUGGGCGAAAGCCUGAUGCAGCGACGCCGCGUGAGGGAUGACGGCCUUCGGGUUGUAAACCUCUUUCAGCAGGGAAGAAGCGAAAGUGACGGUACCUGCAGAAGAAGCACCGGCUAACUACGUGCCAGCAGCCGCGGUAAUACGUAGGGUGCGAGCGUUGUCCGGAAUUAUUGGGCAUAAAGAGCUCGUAGGCGGUUUGUCGCGUCUGCUGUGAAAUCCCGAGGCUCAACCUCGGGUCUGCAGUGGGUACGGGCAGACUGGAGUCGGUAGGGGAGAAUGGAAUUCCUGGUGUAGCGGUGGAAUGCGCAGAUAUCAGGAGGAACACCGAUGGCGAAGGCAGUUCUCUGGGCCGUAACUGACGCUGAGGGGCGAAAGCGUGGGGAGCGAACAGGAUUAGAUACC
rnacentral:rRNA from 1 species